AACACCCAAAUUUUUUUGGUGGGAUGUACUUAUUUGUUGAUGUGACACCCGUUGAUUUCGUAAACCCUUAUGUUAAUUAAGUACUUGAAAAUAAUUUGAGAAAACCAUUUACAAUUUUGAACAUUGACGUCUAAAUAUAUAACCAUCCUUGCCUUUGUCACGAUUUGAAGCACCAACCUCCCACAUGAUAGUGUGUCACGGGAGUGGUCGGGGUAGCACCAACCUCUCACAU
rnacentral:lncRNA from 1 species